CCUACGGGAGGCAGCAGUGGGGAAUAUUGGACAAUGGGCGAAAGCCUGAUCCAGCCAUGCCGCGUGUGUGAAGAAGGCCUUCGGGUUGUAAAGCACUUUCAGUGGGGAAGAAAGCCUUGGGGCUAAUACCCUCGAGGAAGGACAUCACCCACAGAAGAAGCACCGGCUAACUCCGUGCCAGCAGCCGCGGUAAUACGGAGGGUGCGAGCGUUAAUCGGAAUUACUGGGCGUAAAGCGCGCGUAGGCGGUCUGAUAAGCCGGUUGUGAAAGCCCCGGGCUCAACCUGGGAACGGCAUCCGGAACUGUCAGGCUAGAGUGCAGGAGAGGAAGGUAGAAUUCCCGGUGUAGCGGUGAAAUGCGUAGAGAUCGGGAGGAAUACCAGUGGCGAAGGCGGCCUUCUGGACUGACACUGACGCUGAGGUGCGAAAGCGUGGGUAGCAAACAGGAUUAGAUACCUGUAGUC
rnacentral:rRNA from 1 species